UACGGAGGGGGCUAGCGUUGUUCGGAAUUACUGGGCGUAAAGCGUACGUAGGCGGCUUUGUAAGUUAGAGGUGAAAGCCCGGAGCUCAACUCCGGAAUUGCCUUUAAGACUGCAUCGCUAGAAUCAUGGAGAGGUGAGUGGAAUUCCGAGUGUAGAGGUGAAAAUUCGUAGAUAUUCGGAAGAACACCAGUGGCGAAGGCGACUCACUGGACAUGUAUUGACGCUGAGGUGCGAAAGCGUGGGGAGCAAACAGG
rnacentral:rRNA from 1 species